rnacentral:rRNA from 1 species
AUGUGCGCCCACUUGGUCGAGGAGCUGCGCAUGGACGUGAACGCCGUCGACAACGGAGGUAGAACGCCUCUGAUUCAUGCUAUGUACGGUGAGAAGGUGAGCACUUUCAAGUAUCUUCUUGAUCAUGGUGCCAAUCCAGACAGAGUUGACCCUAAUGGAUUUGCCCCUCUACAUUCUGCUGCUGGAUCAGGAUAUUGUGAAAUGGUAAAGCUAUUACUUGCAAGAGGAGCUUGCACCGAUCCGGUAACUUGCUGCGGGACACCACUUCAUAUUGCUGCUACUGAAGGGCAAGACCUUGCUAUGAAGAUUUUACUUGGCCACAAUGCAGAUUACAACAAAAUGAUAAAUGGUAUGACACCUCUCUAUUUUGCUAUAAAUGUCUCCUCGGUGAAAUGUGCAAAACUCCUGAUUCAGGCUGGUGGUGUUGCCAAUGGAGAUUUUAUAUUAACUGCUUUAGCUGAUGCUCCAAGCAAUGGAUCAGCGGAGUGCUUGAAUUGCCUACUGGGGUUUGGUGGUGAAUGGCAUGCUCGUAAUGAUGAGGAGCCUGUGGAUAGAAAGAAAGUAGCAGAAUUGAAGUCACAAGGGAGCAAGGCAGUUGCAAGAAAGGAUUUUCUUUCUGCAGCAGAAGCCUACAGUAUGGCACUGGAGCUUGAUCCUGAUGACGCGACGUUGUUCUCAAACAGGAGCCUUUGCUGGCUUCACAUAGGUAAAGGAGGCAAGCCUUUGCUCAGUUUACUGGAUGCUUAUGAAUGCAAAAAGAGGCGGCCUGAUUGGUCGAAGGCCUUCUACAGGGAGAGCAAAGCUCUAGCGUUACUGAAGGACUACAAGGGUGCAUGCGAUGCGCUUCUGAACGUAUUGAAGAUGGACCCAGGGAAUGCCGAAAUUGAGGACGGAUUGCGGAAAGCUAUGGAAUCCUUGAAGGUGUCUCAAAGCACCAAGGCCCAGUGA